rnacentral:lncRNA from 1 species
CCGCCGCGGCGCCCGGGACCCGGCGGCCAGGCCCCGGAAACCUGGGACUUGGAGCCCCGCCGCCUGCCGAGCGCCGGGAACCGCUUCGAGCUGUUCUCAGGACGACUCCACCCCUCAUGAUGCUAUCCCAGCAGCCCCAGGGCACGAAGAAGGCCCCAGUCCAUCCUCUGGUCUGAUAAAGGAUUGCCACUGACAAGCCUGAUUUCAUAACCCCUGCGGAAGACAGCCCUGGUCAGCUGGCCACGCCCCUGGGACACCCGGAGAGGGAUGGUUCCUGCUUUGUUUUCAUUUUGUCACUGAGUCAGGAAGUUAACCAGGCUGUUUUCCUCCACGUGGCUAGGGUCCAGACCUCUCUUGCCAGAAGGAAUGGAACUGGGCUGGAUCUCCUCGUGCUGGUGUUACAGGCAGCUGAGCCAGUUAGAAAUAUUAUAGGCAGUCAGACAGGGCUAGGCCUUUGAGGAAGCCGGCAUGGAGGACCAGAUAUCUUGGAGGACCUUGGAGGGGACACACACCUCUUGCUGUGGACCAGAUCUGAAAACAGAAGGCAAAACAAAUGCAACCACACCCUUAAGUAUAAUCCUUAGGGAUUAAAUCUGGAUCACUUUGAGAAGCCAAGAGUCACCAUCCCAAUCCCCUAUAGGAGGAAUCACUGAUCUCUAGGAAUGCCUGCUUCUUACGUGACUUGCUUUCCCAUUCGUCCGCAGUUUAGUCAAUUUUACCUGAACUAUUGAUCUUAUUGGCUAACUAUAGUUAUGUCCCACCUUAUGUCCAUCUGCUCUGUGAGUUCUCAGUCUUCCCCUACCUUGGACCCAUAGUUUUACUUUAUAAAAGUCCCUGGAAGAGACAGAGUCCUGGGCAACCUGCUCAGGACCCCUUUUGUCUCUCUUCAGAUAGAAGCUUUCUUUCCCUCAAUAAAUAUAUUCUACUCUUAAC